rnacentral:rRNA from 1 species
CAAUAGCGUAUAUUAAAGUUGUUGCAGUUAAAAAGCUCGUAGUUGGAUUUCAAGAAACGCAUCUGGGAAACCAGUUUGCUUUCUACCAGUCUCUGACUGUUACUGUGAGAAAAUUAGAGUGUUUCAAGCAGGCAAUUGCAGGAAUACAUUAGCAUGGAAUAACGAAUGUACUUACAAUAUGGUUAAUUGUAGGUUUCGAUUAAUAGGGACAGUUGGGGGCAUUAGUAUUUAAUUGUCAGAGGUGAAAUUCUUGGAUUUGUUAAAGACUAACGUAUGCGAAAGCAUUUGCCAAGGAUGUUUUCAUUAG